UUACCUCUCCCUCACAACGUGAGCUUUCCUUUGUCCAUAGGAGGCGAGCUCCACAUCUUUCUUCUUUUCCCCAAGCCGAAGGGAAGAACCCCUUUCUCCUCUCUUCUCCAGCCAACCUACUCCGUCCUCCCUUCCUUCCCCACUCCUCCCCAGGUGCCUCCUUGCUGCACCACGCCCUUCACCACCUCCAUGGCAGCCCUUUCAAUCUAGGGCUUGAGGAAGAAGAAAAGGAGACAAGGAUAGGAGGAGAACAAGAAAGCUUCCCCAACUUUCCCCUUCACCAAAUCUUUGUCAUUUGACCAUAGAGGUUGCAGCACCAAUCCACUGGAGAUAGCCUCGCACCACCUCCCUUGCAAUGGUUGAGGCGAGUACACCGGGCAACAAGAGCUAGAUUGCUCCCUUAAUAUUAUGUUCAUGUUCACAUUAUUCCUUUACAUUCAUGCAAUGGUGAACAUACAACUCCCUAGUGUACAUUUCAAUACACCAUACCACUAGAAUGUGAUAGGGAUUGGUUUUUCUUGGUUCUUGGUAACAAAUCCAUCAUGAGUGAAUCUUCCAAGUUAAAGGAGUGAUCCUCGCUUCGCGGGUGUAUGGUCCUUCGGGUCCAUCCUCAUGUUAUGGUCCUCUCACUUGGUGAGGGCUGAAAAGGAGUGAGGUACAUCACCGUGCGGCUUUGCAAGUACUAGGAAAGGCGUAGCUCCCAUGGGUGUUCACUCACAUUGCACACCCCUUUCAUUCACCUAGCUGGUCAUGAUAAUUCUCAUACUUAGGUUCAUGAUUCCUGGUAGCCAGGAUCUACUUGUUGUGUAUUAACCAUGCCUUGGUUUGUUUCCAUGAUCAAUAUGUUUACCUGUCAAGGUGGGUUGGAGUUGACUAGUCCCCACCCUGCACCGAGGUGUGUUGGAACGUAUGUUUUCUUUGUUAUGUGUAGCAUAACGGUUGGUGGCUUCACCACUGUGCUCUAAAUUGGUUUUAUGAGCUUGUUGGAUGCUUCUGCUUGUGAUAUUAUAAAUAUAUGCUAUGUUUAUUCAA